GACGAACGCUGGCGGCGUGCUUAACGCAUGCAAGUCAAGGGGACCCGCAAGGGUAACCGGCGAACGGGUGCGUAACACGUGAGCAACCUGCCUCAGUGUGGGGGAUAGCCGGCCCAACGGCCGGGUAAUACCGCAUACGCUCACCGAGUGGCAUCACUUGGUGAAGAAACUUCCGAGGCACUGAGAGGGGCUCGCGGCCUAUCAGCUUGUUGGUGGGGUAACGGCCUACCAAGGCUACGACGGGUAGCUGGUCUGAGAGGAUGGCCAGCCACAUUGGGACUGAGAUACGGCCCAGACUCCUACGGGAGGCAGCAGUGGGGAAUAUUGCGCAAUGGGCGAAAGCCUGACGCAGCGACGCCGCGUGGGGA
rnacentral:rRNA from 1 species